AGUUUGAUGUAUUAUAUAUUGAAUAUUUUCUGCUCCAUGAUUAUUUAUUAAUUAAAUAGCCGCAGUACCUUGACUGUGCUAAGGUAGCAUAAUAACUUGACCUAUAAUUGAGGUCUAGAAUGAAAGGAAGUACCUAUGGAUGACUGUCUUACUAGAGCUAACAUGAAAUUACUUAUUAGGUGUAAAUACCUAAGUGAAUAAAUUAGACGAGAAGACCCUUAGAGUUUUUAUUACUAUUGAUAUAAUAUUUUUGUUGGGGCAACAUAGGAAUAGUUUAAUCUUCCUAAAUUUAAAAAUGACACGCCGAGCUUAUGUUAUGAUUGAAUACAACUACCUAAGGGAUAACAGCAUUAUCUUUAAUAAGGAUUGUGACCUCGAUGUUGGAUUAGGUAAAUUUGAUAUAAGCAAUAUCACCUAAAAGUUCUGUUCGAACUUGAGCACCU
rnacentral:rRNA from 1 species